UGGGCCUGUAGCGCAGUUGGGAGCGCGUUCGGUUCGCAUCCGAGAGGUCGAGGGUUCGAAUCCCUUCAGGUCCACCA
rnacentral:tRNA from 1 species